CCAGUUGUGUGUGUGUCCUCUCCCUCAGGGCUGCCAGGUGAAGCUGGAGGAGGCCUUGCUUUUUGUUCUGCGCUUCAUCAUCUGGUCAUCGCUGGCAGUGGCGCUAGUGGAGACUGUAGGGUUUGUGAGUGUGGCUCAGCUGAUGAGGGACCAGCCUCUGUUGGAGUAUGGAAUACUGGACAGGGAGUGGGCCUGAACCAGAGUGGCAGUAUUCUGGACUGAGAAUCUACUUUAGAUAUACUAUGUCCUGGAACUUGGUAAAGUUCAUGAUGCUGUGGACCUUAAAGUUAAUAGUUGUCUGGGCAGCUCCAGAGGCCCUAGGGUACCAUUACAGGUAAUUGAUGUAAUCAUCCCCGAUCUUGUUGGUGUAACUGCUUAAGAGUGAUCAUCUUUCUUUCAUUAAACUAAUGUAUGUAUACACAUCCGUGAAGGGAGGAAGGAAGGUGUACUCUAAAAGUGUUGGAACGUGUCCUACACUUCUGCACACACUUCCUUCGUUUCAUAAGGAUCAACUGGAAUAUGUAAUGGCCUCUGUUUUGGUUUGUUUGAUUUUGUUCACUGAUGUAAAUACAUGCUGGUUAAAGAAACCACUCCAUCACAAUAAAUUGUCACAUGUCCUGCAGAUGAUAUAUUAAUGACAUUUUUAAACUACCCUGCACGGCUUUUGAGUAAUUGACUGGUUGAUACUGUGCUGUGUGGCUAUCGUGUGACUUUAACUUACCGGUUUGUAURUGGGGGAUUCUGCAACUUCGGGCACUUUGGCCCUGCAAGCGUUCAGAAAUUAAAAGUUAUUGAAACACCA